AUACGUAGGGUGCAAGCGUUAAUCGGAAUUACUGGGCGUAAAGCGUGCGCAGGCGGUUUUGUAAGACAGUGGUGAAAUCCCCGGGCUCAACCUGGGAACUGCCAUUGUGACUGCAAGGCUGGAGUGCGGCAGAGGGGGAUUGAAUUCCGCGUGUAGCAGUGAAAGGCGUAGAUAUGCGGAGGAACACCGAUGGCGAAGGCAAUCCCCUGGGCCUGCACUGACGCUCAUGCACGAAAGCGUGGGGAGCAAACAGGAUUAGAUACCCUUGUAGUCCACGCCCUAAACGAUGUCAACUGGUUGUUGGGGAUUUAUUUUCUCAGUAACGAAGCUAACGCGUGAAGUUGACCGCCUGGGGAGUACGGCCGCAAGGUUAAAACUCAAAUGAAUUGACGGGG
rnacentral:rRNA from 1 species